rnacentral:tRNA from 1 species
GGAGAAAUGGCUCAGCAGUUAAGAGCACUGGCUCUUCCUCCAGAGGACCCGGGGUUCAAUUCCCAGCAUCCCCG